ACAGACAUUUUCAGACAAUGACUGACUGAAAAUAUACUAAAGCCAUGUCAUAUGCUGUUAUGCCAUAGUUGCCCAGGUCAUUAAUCAAAACAACUGAGAAAAGAGGAAUCAAGUGGGAACUUCAUUAGUCACUGAUAUACAUUUGUUAAUAGUUUUAGAAGUGUGAAUACUUCUCAUGAACUGAAUGAGCUCUAUUCAUUUUAAAUUUAAUUGAAAGGUGAAAAGUUCAAUGCUGUUAAAGGAAAGUAUUUUUACACAACUUCUAAUUACUGCUGGAAUCUGUAUUGGAUGAUGGUCAAGAAUCUACCAAGAUUUCUUUUUUUAAACCCCUGAACAUAUGAAUGUCUGAAAAUCUGCUGAAUUCUCCUGACCUGGAAGAAGGUAGUCUGCUAUACAUUCUGAAUGCUGGAUCCACAGAACUCUGGAUGCAUUUAAAUCCACUGAGGAUUUCUCUGAACAAUCUGAAGGCAGAGCUGCUCCUCGAAGUGACCCCUGAGCAGUUGCCACCUGGAGAGCAAACCGAACAGGUUUCCUGUGACUUUAACAACAGUGUGCCAAGCAGGAAUCCAGAAUUUGAGAUUUUACCACUAUUUCAUCUGUUUUGUGCUUAUUGGCAAAUGCAUCACCCAUCUGAAUAUCUACCUGUUCCACAACUGUAAAGAAAGCACUGCAAAUCCUAACAGAAAAA